GACGAACGCUGGCGGCGUGCUUAACACAUGCAAGUCGAACGAAGUGGCGAACGGGUGAGUAAUACGUGGGUAACCUGCCCUCCUUUUUGGGAUAAGCCUUGGAAACGGGGUCUAAUACCGACUAAAGGGGGAGGGGCUCGCGGCUUAUCAGCUUGUUGGUGGGGUGAUGGCCUACCAAGGCGGUGACGGGUAGCCGGACUGGGAGGGUGACCGGCAACAUUGGGACUGAGAUACGGCCCAGGCUCCUACGGGUGGCAGCAGUGGGGGAUAUUGCACAAUGGGGGACAGGCUGAUGCAGCGACGCCGCGUGGGUGAUGAAGGCUUUCGGGUUGUAAACCUCUUUCGCUCUCGAACGGGUAGGUGGAGAAGAAGCGCCGGCUAACUACGUGCCAGCAGCCGCGGUAAUUC
rnacentral:rRNA from 1 species